ensembl:lncRNA
UUAUUUUUGGAGUGUUACAACUUGGCGUAGUUUGGCAGUCUGGACGUUGGGCAAUAGCAAGGAAGAUGUCAACUACACAAUCUGCACCGUCACCUUCUACAUCAAGUGAGCAGCAGCAGGGAACAGGUAGUUCUAAUAUAUCUCAGAGUCAAGCAACAAAUGCAAAUAUGGUUAUGUUUCCUUUUAUGAUGGGAACACCGUGGUGCCAAAAGUUUAAUGGAGAACAGGGGACUCAGGCAAAUAACUUUCAGGAUUGGUAUGAUAUGCAAAAAUCAAUGUUUAAUAUAUAUCCUUUUUCUGAGGCACAGAAAGUUUCAGCUUUAGUAAGUAAUCUGGAUGGAGAAGCAAAGAGGGAAGUGCUAGCUUUGCCAGUAGCACAGCGUGCAACAUCUGAACAGAUAUUGAUGUUUUUGAAAGGUAUUUAUGGAGAUUUGGCUCCCCUUGCAACCCUUCGUUCUCAAUUUUUUACCCGUAAGCAACGGACUGAUGAGAAUGUUAGACAAUAUGCUCUGGCACUUCAGGAAUUGAGUAAUCGGUUGGAGAAUAGGGGGGAUGGUACCACUAGGGGUAAAAUCUUACGGGAUCAAUUUAUUUUAGGAUUGUUGGAUGUAGGAUUGCGUAGGGAACUUCGGGGUAUGGUUAGAGCAGCACCAGACAGUUCUUUUGUAGAGGUCAAACAGGAAGCCAUUCUACGAGCAGAUGAGUUUGGGGAGGUGAGGCAGGCCGUAGCUGCAACGGUACAGUUAAAACCAGCCCCAGAUAAAACAAAAUUGGUUGAGGAUAUUAAACAGGAGGUUUUUUUGCAGUUAAAAGGAGAAAUAAAGGAAAUGGUGGCUGGGAUGAUUAAUGAAGUUCGUGAAGGAGUACAGAAUUUAUUGCCUAACAGUGAAAGUUCAAGACAUAGGUAUGAGUCCAGGGGAGGACGAAGAAGUUCAGACCAAUUUGACCAUCAGGGUAGACCUAUCUGUCGGCGUUGCAGACAAGUUGGGCAUAUUGAAAGACGUUGUAGGUUGGUGGAAGGAGCACAA